AUUGGAGAGCCAGGUCCCUAAGAAGUAAUUUCUGAAUGGUUAAGUAAAGAAACACUCUCCUUCUUGAAAAAAAGAGAGACAUGUCCUUGAGGCAAUUAAAGUAAAAGAAACUGAUACUUCAGGAUGAACCCAAGUCACUUUCAUGGCUGGACUUUGCAGAACAAAGAUGUCAGAAUGGCUUUGAAGAAGUGUUUGAUGAGAAGGAACCGUGCCGAUUCUCACUUGCUAAGGCAGUGGUAACACAGGAUCUGGGUGGGAAUAAGUCCUCAUCCCUUCUGAUAUUCGCACUUACCCAUAGUACAUCUGUGCCUCAGGAGCUUAGGAGAAAAUAAGAGUGAAAGAGAUUUACUGGGCCACAGAGUCUAAUCUACUGUAUUCACAGCCAGGUAUUUCAUGUAAUCCCUUUAAAAAUAUGGUCAAGCUUCAUCUUUGAACUGGCCAGAAACAGUGAUAACAGCAAUCUCUGGGGUGCUUUCGACUUCUGACUCCUUUGUGGGUUACAAGUCUUUUUCUGACCUCCAGUCUAACGGUA